UACGGAGGGUGCAAGCGUUAUCCGGAUUCACUGGGUUUAAAGGGUGCGUAGGUGGCAGGUAAGUCAGUGGUGAAAUCUCUGGGCUUAACCCGGAACUGCCGUUGAUACUAUCUGUCUUGAAUGUAGUGGAGGUGAGCGGAAUAUGUCAUGUAGCGGUGAAAUGCUUAGAUAUGACAUAGAACAUCGAUUGCGAAGGCAGCUCGCUACACUAUGAUUGACACUGAGGCACGAAAGCGUGGGGAUCAAACAGG
rnacentral:rRNA from 1 species